rnacentral:tRNA from 1 species
GGCACUAUGGCCGAGUGGUUAAGGCGAGAGACUCGAAUGGAAUAAAAAAGUUCGGCUAUCUCUUGGGCUCUGCCCGCGCUGGUUCAAAUCCUGCUGGUGUCG